rnacentral:rRNA from 1 species
UACAGAGGUCUCAAGCGUUGUUCGGAUUCAUUGGGCGUAAAGGGUGUGUAGGUGGCGCUGUAAGUUGGGUGUGAAAUUUCGGAGCUUAACUCCGAAACUGCAUUCGAUACUGCGGUGCUUGAGGACUGGAGAGGAGACUGGAAUUCAUGGUGUAGCAGUGAAAUGCGUAGAGAUCAUGAGGAAGACCAGUGGCGAAGGCGGGUCUCUGGACAGUUCCUGACGCUGAGGCACGAAGGCCAGGGGAGCAAACGGG